UACGUAGGGGGCUAGCGUUGUCCGGAAUCAUUGGGCGUAAAGCGCGCGUAGGCGGCCCGGUAAGUCCGCUGUGAAAGUCAAAGGCUCAACCUUUGAAUGUCAGCGGAUACUGCCGGGCUAGAGUCCGGAAGAGGCGAGUGGAAUUCCUGGUGUAGCGGUGGAAUGCGCAGAUAUCAGGAGGAACACCAAUAGCGAAGGCAGCUCGCUGGGACGGUAUUGACGCUAAGGCGCGAAAGCGUGGGGAGCGAACAGG
rnacentral:rRNA from 1 species